AUGUAGGCAGUUAUGCUUUACAAUUAUGCAUACAGAGAUAGAUUGUGGGGGAAAGCUAUUUUUCCAUAUGGAUUUAACUCACAGGCCUUCAGUUUGUUGGAAAAAAGAUUUUUAUUGUGUUAGUGAGGGAAAACUUGCAGGUCAGUGGGCAUUAACCUUAAAGGUUGGUAAACACUUGUACACUGAAGCAUACAAUACUGUACAAUUACUGACAUAGGCAUGUGCUAUUCAGGUGUCAAAGCUGUGCUAAACUGGAGGGAGAAACUUGAGAGACCGUGCCGGAAGAAUGCUGGACAGAGUUCCAUAAAAUUCAUUAAUUUCAAAGUUCAACAUGAAUGGUGGUGGUCCACUGCAGAAGCAAGCAUUUGAAAAAACAUCAGUUCUCAGUUAUUAAAGAUGCUGUGUUGAACAACUUCCCAGCAGCAACAGAACUGAAAGUGAAGGAUGCAAUGGGGGCAUUUCAAACAGGCACUGGGGGGGGGUAUAGAAAUUAGUACAAUUAAUAAGUUGAAGUGAACUGAAGAUAAGUUUGUUAAUGUUUAGAUGUUAUUUCAUUUUUAAAAUUUUAUUUUGUUAUUUAUGCUUUUAUUUUGUUACUGUUUUUAUUCUUUUUGUUAAAAGUAGUUUUUCAUUUUGUCUUAUCUGAAUUUCUAUUGUAUUAACAAUAUUUCUUGUAAUAAAUUGCAUGAUUACAUGUUUAUAAGAACCUUUUUUAAUGGAUUAAAAAUAAUUCUUUAGCCAUUCUUUUGUUGUUUAUUAGACACACACGUGUAGUCAUU